GGUCACCUACGGGACGCAGCAGUGAGGGAUAUUGGUCAAUGGGGGAAACCCUGAACCAGCAACGCCGCGUGAGGGAAGACGGUUUUCGGAUUGUAAACCUCUGUCCUCUGUGAAGAUAAUGACGGUAGCAGAGGAGGAAGCUCCGGCUAACUACGUGCCAGCAGCCGCGGUAAUACGUAGGGAGCGAGCGUUGUCCGGAUUUAUUGGGUUUAAAGGGUGCGCAGGCGGAGGUGCAAGUCAGCGGUCAAAUUGCGGGGCUCAACCCCGUACUGCCGUUGAAACUGCAUCCCUUGAGUGCGCGAGAA
rnacentral:rRNA from 1 species